rnacentral:tRNA from 1 species
GGGCCCGUAGCUCAGCUAGGUAGAAUAUUAUGAUAAAAUGGAAAAGUGUGAGCCAUGAAUAUAUUCCUAGAAAGAGCAUCUGGCUUUUAACCAGGUGGUCGGGGGUUCGAAUCCCCUCGGGCCCG